rnacentral:rRNA from 1 species
UACAGAGGUCCCAAGCGUUGUUCGGAUUCACUGGGCGUAAAGGGUGCGCAGGUGGGUUUGCAAGUUCGAUGUGAAAGCCUCGGGCUUAACCCGGGAAUGGCAUUGGAUACUGCAGAUCUGGAGGAUCGGAGGGGGGACUGGAAUUCUUGGUGUAGCAGUGAAAUGCGUAGAUAUCAAGAGGAACACCAGUGGCGAAGGCGAGUCCCUGGACGAUACCUGACACUGAGGCACGAAAGCUAGGGGAGCAAACAGG